rnacentral:rRNA from 1 species
GACGAACGCUGGCGGCGUGCCUAAUACAUGCAAGUCGAACGCAUUUUCUUUCACCGUAGCUUGCUACACCGAAAGAAAAUGAGUGGCGAACGGGUGAGUAACACGUGGGUAACCUGCCCAUCAGCGGGGGAUAACACUUGGAAACAGGUGCUAAUACCGCAUAAUUCCAUUUACCGCAUGGUAAAUGGAUGAAAGGCGCUUUUGCGUCACUGAUGGAUGGACCCGCGGUGCAUUAGCUAGUUGGUGGGGUAACGGCCUACCAAGGCUGCGAUGCAUAGCCGAACGGAGAGGGUGAUCGGCCACACUGGGACUGAGACACGGCCCAGACUCCUACGGGAGGCAGCAGUAGGGAAUCUUCGGCAAUAGACGCAAGUCUGACCGAGCAACGCCGCGUGAGUGAAGAAGGUUUUCGGAUCGUAAAACUCUGUUGUUAGAGAAGAACAAGGGUGAGAGUGGAAAGUUCAUCCCUUGACGGUAUCUAACCAGAAAGCCACGGCUAACUACGUG